GCCAGCGGCCAUAUCACUCUGCAACUCACAACUGGCAACCUACUGAAGCUAAGCAGGUGUGAGCCUGGUCAGUACUUGGAUGGCAGACCUCCUGGGAAAAACUAAGGUUGCUGCUGGAA
rnacentral:rRNA from 1 species